rnacentral:lncRNA from 1 species
GUUUUUUAUAGUUCAGAUGUUUUAUGUAUUCAUUUUGGGGAUAGUAAAAAUUAAAAACAUAGGGCAAAUAUUCUAGUUUUUAAGUCAAAAUUAUGCUUUUAAAGCACUGCAUCUUAUUAAAUACUUUCAGGAUAUAUUUUAAGUAAACUGCAAGAAAGAAAAAUUUGACAGAAGAUGGGAUUUUACCUGAGUAGGACAUAAAUGUGAAGACACUGUGGCAUGGAGCUUGAGUGCUAAUUGAUGUUUGGUAUCUGAAUCCCUGUUGAAGAACAUAAGUUAGUUUUAUUGAGUAAAUUACUGAAGCUCAUCUCCCAUCUAUAAAAGAGGAGGAUAUAUGAUCAUAUUUAACUCAGGUUUGUUAAGAGGUCAAAUGUCAAUCCAUGUAUGAUUCUUAACAAUUACCUGACACGUUUUGGUUGCUUAGUAAGUGUGAGCCUUUACUAUCAUUGUAGGUAAAAUCCCAUUACAAAAACACAAAAAUGUUUUUUGUAACAAAAAUUCUUCCUGUGCCCUCUUGGAUGACCUAAGGGAAUAGUGUUCUAUAGGUGACACUAAAUUUUCAAUGUAACCUCAGAUGUUUGUUCCCAGAAAGAGACCAUCUUUCCAUAAUUAAAGAACCUGAUGGUAUACACUAUGGAGAAAUGAAUUAAGAUACCUAGUUUGAACUUUUGUUUUCCUUUCAUUAAUCACAAUCAUCUAUACCUGCCUUCAUUUCACUCUACCUCAGCUAUAUUUCCACACCAGGAAAACAUGCAGAUUCCUUAAACACUUGUACCUAAUGUUAAAAUAUGCAAAAAGAUUU